GCAAGGAUUCAAAGCGACAAUCAAUACCACUUUUCACAAAUAGAAGUAUUGCAGAACACCCUGUGUACGGAAUACAUAUUAUGUAGCCCGGCCACUAUUUCACUGGAUACGUAUAUACCAGAUCUUAUUGCCUCGUUCUAAUAUACAACUGGGAACUAAUUACUACGAAUAGAUACUAUAAAGGAAAUAUCAUGGAAGACCUUUAAAGUUUAAUAUUAUGCUUAGUAUGUUUUAUAAUAUAAUUAAUAAAUCACGCAAAUCCUUCGUGGCCAAAUUGGGUGACGGAAGUGCGGUUUCUUGGGGGUAAGGGCCUCCAGAAAAGCUGGAGAAACAACAUCAGGGUGAGAGUAAGGGCCCUCACCGUUAUGGACAUUGAAUCUCAUGUCCGAGCCGGGCUUCCCCGUGGUGAAGUGACCGAGAGAUGCGAAGAUCAGGACGAGGGUAAGGGCCUCCGCCGUUAUGGACCUUGCUCUCUUUUGCCGGUGUGUGCUUCACCGUGGGCGAAGUGUGGCCGUGUGGACACCACUUUCCGCCAUUGAUCGAGACAAAGUGUAGAUCCCCCACGAGAAGCAUGUUGGUCGGGAAAAAUUAUAAAUAGUUAAUAUGAAGUAUUUAUAGUAUGGUAUAGAUGUAUGUUUUAUAGUGUGUAAUGAUGGCGUGCUGCGCAAAUAAGAUAUAUGGUGUCCACGAGAUACUAACGCUUAUGCUACGGCUGGAUAAUCAGGGAGGCCAGGAAAAAACCUGCAGUACAGGAAAACCUGGGUAGGGCCAAGACCACCAGCAGCUCCCCACAUAGCUUUAUCUUUACAAAAUUAAGAAAUGUCAGUAUCGCGUUAGACACCACUAAGCUAUUCUGUUAACGCAUGCGUUAUUUGUUUUAUUGUUUUUGGUUUGUUUUCUUUUUCUUUUCUUUUUUUUUUGUUAUGAAACUACGCUUUUGAGCAUAAAUAAGGGAACUAAACGAUCAGAAUGAAUUUGUCGCAAUCCAAAGCAGAACGCCACCGUACAGUAGUAGUUCAGGUAAUAGAAUGUAGAUUAUGUCAUAAAUAGUUCAUAUAUACGUAGAGAGUUCAUAGCCAUUAGGACGUAGGCGUGAUCCAGAUAGGUGAUGGAAGGCGGAAACCAAGAUGGCGCAAAUGCUGAGAUCUUCUUCAUGUCCUUCCUUCGUUUGUAACAGAAUGACUAAAAGAGAGACGGAGAAAAGCAAAAACUGCUCUGUGUAUAAUCAUGAGCUGGUCGAUAAUAGUUGUCUCAAUGCGCGAUGAAUAAAUUUGUAGUAGAAUGCGAGUGCUCUACUACCCCUUAAUUUGGCUUUGUCUCGGUGUGUGAUACACUGUAGUGAACUGUGAAGUAUGUUUAGUUCGAAUUGCAUGUGGGGUGUAUACGCGAUGGCAUAAAAUAGGAAAUAACCUCUGAAAUAACAGUGUAUCGUAUUAGGAAUUGUUUUGAUCUGGUGAAAUAUGCCGUAAACCUUUUCGUUUUGGUAGUUGGUACGCUAGCUAUAUAAGUACCUACUAUGUACAGUACUGGGUUUUGUAAGACGCCAUGUAAUGCAGGUGAUCAUGAUGUCAUGCUGUAGUAUUUCAAUUAUUAUAGCGCUUGUGGUAUAAAAUGCGAAGAUCGCUGUUGACAUAUUUUGUGAGACUGGGGUUUUUGUACAGGAGAAUAUAUAUGUUGUAUUUUACAGUUAUAUGACGUCAUGACGUGCAAGCAAUUUUGAUGCUUUCUAUAUAUUUACUAUUAAAUUUUUGAAAUCUCGUCCGCGCAUUUCCAAGCUUUCCAGAGAGAAAUAUGCGGAAACCCAUGAAAGCAGAAUGUCGGUAAUAAAAUCGUCUAACCCAUGCAGCUGUAUAUACUUCAUGCGCUCUGCCGCGUCCAAAUACCGAGUGUGGCAGGAAAUGUUUCCUCUACAGUGGGGUUAAUAAAAAUCUGUACUGAGCAUUCCUGAACGAGUGAGAAACCGACGAUCUUUAAAUUCUUUCACUAGCAAUUUUUUCUUCUGCCAGUUUGUAAUUUUAUACCUUAUAUAUAGUCCAUAUAUACAGGAUUUUGCGUUGUGCAAUCUUUUGUAUAGGCGGUAUUUGGUUAAUGGAUUUCUUGGGUCUUCACCGGGUUUGGAGAGUAGACCAUAUAGUGAGAUAUUGUAUAGUAAGGGCAUAAUGUAUGUAUAAUGCGUGUGCGUGGUGUUCUGACAGUUCUGUAUAUCUUGGAUAACGAUCUAUACACGCGUGUCGUGCAUAGACAUCUAGUGUAUAUAUAUACGGUAUCUAUGGAAUAUGGUGUCGUGGCUGAAGUUAUGUGGUUGUUUGUAAAUUUUAUUCCUGAUUGAGAUAUAUGAUUAGAUAGGUGACAUACACUAGUCACAGACACAGUAGUUGGUACCGUACAUGCAUGUAUAUAUAUUCUAACAUAGAGAUUUAUGUAUAGCGUCAUAUUGUUUGCUAUGCAUGCUUCAAAUUGGCUUGUCUUGUAGCUGGCUAGCGCUACAGUCUUAAGGUAUCUUAAAUUGAGUUACAGAGAUUAGAAGUCUAUUUACCUCUUCGGUAUCAGGCAAAUGAUAUCAGUACAAUCUUACAAAUGUGGUUCAUGGGGAAAACAAAACAAAACAAAACAUAAAUAUGCCUCACCACAAGGAGUUAGAUUAUAAGUUGAGAGUAUUCUGCGAGACUGCCACAGACUGGCAUAAUUUGACUGGCCAUUGUAGUAUACAUAGGGCGACUCUGUUUAUAUGCCUGUGGCCAAAUGUUUCAUCAUGAAGCAGGGUAUUUUGUUGAUGAAGUGGAUAUUGUACUUGUAAGUGACAAACAUAUAUGUCAUAUAUGGGAUUAUAUUGUAUAUAUAAAAUUAUCGUCCUAACACCAACUAACACAUGUUGACCCUGCCGGGCCUAGACCUGCGUUUUCAUAACUGCCUCGUGAGAGCAAUGUCAUGUUGAUAAACUAAAUGCGGGUAACGAAAAGCCGAGCAGUUCAUGGGAUGUACUCGAAUUGCGCACGUAAUAUGGCUCCAAAAACGUUCUACCAUGGACGAACAUUGGUAGGUUUAUGGACUUUAUGCUGUUCGUGCAUGGCAACUUCAGUGUAUAACAUAACGCGCUUAAGUAUAAUGACAAUAUGAAACGCACUCACCGGUUUAAAAAAGUGGACAAAUGUGGAUAAGAAACAGCCUUUUUCCAGGUUCUGAACGUCGGGACUUGGAAGCUUCGAUUUAUCCGAGAAAAUGUACCACGGGCAUUUUCGUGUACGGAAAAUUUUCCUUCUAUGUUGUUUCGAAGACCGUUGAAACCAGAGUGAACUGAGAUAAAAUUUGGCUAGCUUUUGCUGAUAACUGAAGAAUGUCGGCUUAGCAAAAUGGGAUUAUAUUGACAAUUUGGCAUUGACACAUGGCAGGUGUUGCCCGGAGAGCAAGGCGGUUGUUUUCUUUGCUUAUCGUUUCCGU